rnacentral:rRNA from 1 species
AUUGAACGCUGGCGGCAGGCUUAACACAUGCAAGUCGAGCGGGGUGAUGGUGCUUGCACUAUCACUUAGCGGCGGACGGGUGAGUAAUGCUUAGGAAUCUGCCUAUUAGUGGGGGACAACAUCUCGAAAGGGAUGCUAAUACCGCAUACGUCCUACGGGAGAAAGCAGGGGAUCACUUGUGACCUUGCGCUAAUAGAUGAGCCUAAGUCGGAUUAGCUAGUUGGUGGGGUAAAGGCCUACCAAGGCGACGAUCUGUAGCGGGUCGGAGAGGAUGAUCCGCCACACUGGGACUGAGACACGGCCCAGACUCCUACGGGAGGUAGCAGUGGGGAAUAUUGGACAAGGGGGGGAACCCUGAUCCAGCCAUGCCGCGUGUGUGAAGAAGGCCUUAUGGUUGUAAAGCACUUUAAGCGAGGAGGAGGCUCUUUUGGUUAAUACCCAAGAUGAGUGGACGUUACUCGCAGAAUAAGCACCGGCUAACUCUGUGCCAGCCGCCGCCGUAA